rnacentral:misc_RNA from 1 species
CGAUCAGAAUAUGAUCAUGCUUGCUUACGCUCUUGUCGCUCACGUGCUCUCUAUGAAGGGCUUAAGGUGGCUGCAACUUCUGAUCUAAUGCUCGCAUAUGUGGAUUUUUUCCUUGGCGGAGAUGAAAAGAGAGCUGAUCUCCCUCCUCGUCUUCAUCAAAGGUUUCCCAUGUCUUUAGUUUUUGGAGGAGAUGGAAGUUAUAUGGCUCCUUUCUCCCUUAACAGUGACAAUAUUCUCACCAGCCUCAUGAGCCAGUCUGUUCCUCCAACCAUUUGGUAUCGAUUAGUGGCUGGACUAAAUGCGCAAUUACGCUUGGUUCGAUGUGGACGCUUAAAGAUUACUUUUGGUCAUGUUAUUGGCUGGCUUGAAACACUUGCAAAUCCUGCUUUAAGUGCAUACAGUGUACAUGUUGAUCUUGCAUGGUUUCAACCUACGUCUUCUGGAUAUUGCCAGUUUGGGCUUGUGGUAUGUGCAACUGAGAAUGAGAGUGUUGCCCCAUCAAUUGAAGGUCAAGAUGGAUCUCUGUUACCUGGGAAACAGUCAUGUUUGCCUAGAUUGCAUAGAGAGGGUCGACUGGAGUACCAGAAAGCAAAUGAACAGAUAAUGACACACACAGGAAUUUCUGGAGGCAUUUUGCAUUCGAAGAAUUUACGAACACUAAAAUUAAGGAGGACAAUAUGUUAUCCUUUUGGUUUCAUCCUUUAUAAUUCUAAACCUGUUGGUCAUCAGGAUCUUGUUGGUCUGUUCAUCUCUAUACUUUUACUAGCAGAUAUUAGCUUAGUACUGCUAACUUUGCUACAGAUGUAUUCUAUUUCAUUGCUCAAUUUCCUAUUAGUUUUAUUUAUCCUUCCUCUUGGCAUACUGUUUCCAUUUCCAACUGGAAUCAGUGCCUUGUUUAGUCAUGGACCUAGGCGAUCAGCUGGUCUGGCACGUGUAUAUGCUCUGUGGAACAUAACAUCCUUGAUCAAUGUUGUAACUGCCUUUGUAUGUGGAUUUGUCCAUUAUAUGAUCCGCUCAAGUAAAAAGCAUUUGAGCUUUCAGUCCUGGAAUUUUAGCAUGGAUGAAAGUGAAUGGUGGAUGCUUCCUUCUGGAUUGUUGCUAUGUAAAAUUAUCCAAGCACGACUCAUCGAUUGCCACGUAGCUAACCAAGAAAUUCAAGAUCAAUCUUUAUAUAGUAAUGACCCAGAAGUGUUCUGGCAAUCAUGAAGGCAUCCACUAAAUAGGUAUAUGCCAAGCUUACUUCUUUCUAUACCAUUCUUGUAUAUUCCUUUCCUAGAAUUUGUGUGUGCUUACCCAGCUUUUGAAACCCCAAAAGACAAAAAAAAGAAGGAAAAAAUAUUUUGGUAGUCGAUUAAGUAAAGCAUAGAAGAUACUGGAAUGGAAUCCUUAUUUAUGUGGAAAAUCAUUAUUUGUGCAAUUUAUUGAAAGCAGGUUUCCCGACUUCUGAUAGAAUCUAUGUGCUCUUUGUCAAUGUAUCCAGUUGUUUUUGGGUAGUCCAUUGAACACCUCAGAAAUUUAUGGUAUAGGUUUAAUGAAAAUUACAUUGAACAUGAAUAAUUUUAUUCCAGACCG